rnacentral:rRNA from 1 species
GCAGUCGCCGCGGUAAUACGGAGGGUGCAAGCGUUAAUCGGAAUUACUGGGCGUAAAGCGCACGCAGGCGGUCUGUCAAGUCAGAUGUGAAAUCCCCGGGCUUAACCUGGGAACUGCAUUUGAAACUGGCAGGCUAGAGUCUUGUAGAGGGGGGUAGAAUUCCAGGUGUAGCGGUGAAAUGCGUAGAGAUCUGGAGGAAUACCGGUGGCGAAGGCGGCCCCCUGGACAAAGACUGACGCUCAGGUGCGAAAGCGUGGGGAGCAAACAGGAUUAGAUACCCGCGUAGUCCCUGUCUCUUAUAA